CUAGCAGGCUUGGAGACUGAAGUCCUUUAUUCACAGAAGAGGUUCAGCAGAGGCAAUGACAAUGUUCACUUCCCCCAGACAGUUCUGUCAAAGUGCCUUUAUGCUGAAUUGCCUUCUCUGAGGAGUGAAAGGGCAGUUCAGUCCCCAUGUUCAUUGAACCCUUGGCCUUU
ensembl:misc_RNA